rnacentral:rRNA from 1 species
UACGUAGGUGGCAAGCGUUGUCCGGAAUUAUUGGGCGUAAAGGGAGCGCAGGUGGGCGUGUAAGUCUUUCUUAAAAGUGCGGGGCUCAACCCCGUGAUGGGAAAGAAACUAUGUGCCUUGAGUGCAGGAGAGGAAAGCGGAAUUCCUAGUGUAGCGGUGAAAUGCGUAGAUAUUAGGAGGAACACCAGUGGCGAAGGCGGCUUUCUGGACUGUAACUGACACUGAGGCUCGAAGGCCAGGGGAGCGAACGGG